CACGUAGGGCGCAAGCGUUGUCCGGAAUUAUUGGGCGUAAAGAGCUCGUAGGUGGUUUGUUACGUCUGCUGUGAAAACCUAGGGCUUAACCCUGGGCUUGCAGUGGAUACGGGCAGACUAGAGGUAGGUAGGGGAGAAUGGAAUUCCUGGUGUAGCGGUGAAAUGCGUAGAUAUCUGGAGGAACACCGGUGGCGAAGGCGGCAUCCUGGACCGGCAUUGACGCUGAGGCGCGAAAGCCAGGGGAGCAAACGGG
rnacentral:rRNA from 1 species